AAGUCGUAACAAGGUUUCCGUAGGUGAACCUGCGGAAGGAUCAUUACCGAUCUAAUACACAACCCCAUGUGAACUGUUGUUGUAUGUCUUUGGGGGGGACUUGAGAAGCAUCAGUCCUUUCUGAAGCAACUUUUAUGUUCCCCCCACGUUUAUUAAACCACUAUGGUCUUCGUUGGAAUACCUUUUAUUAGUAAUAAUAAAGGACAACUUUUAACGGUGGAUCUCUUGGCUCGUG
rnacentral:misc_RNA from 1 species